rnacentral:tRNA from 1 species
UCGGUCUGCGCGAUCUCGGGCACGUGCUUGGCGAUGAGGUCGCCGAGCUUGCGGAUGAGCUUGGCGCGCUCGGGCGCGGGCAGGCCGGCCCA